ACACAUAAUAAGACAUAUUGAAUAGUAUAUAGAAUAUAAUGACACAUACAGUAAACCAUUGUAUACAAUCAGGUUACAUAAAUGGUAGGUGGACCAUAAUCCAACCAUCAAGACUUAUGUCUAAGCACAUGCUACAUUAAGCGUUUGGGGUUCAUGGCUGAUAGAGCACCAUUGCUACCAUUUUUUGAGACAACAGAUUCUGGAAAGUGCUAGAAUACUUGCUUGGUGGUCCAUAUUCAAUGGUUAUGUGGACCAUUUAAGUUAUACUCCAUUUGAAUCUUGGGGAUUAAAGGGCCACACCGGAUUUUCUUUAGAGAUAAAUAUAUUCAGUUGCUCUUCAAGAGUUCUUGCCCUCUCCAGCCAGCUGCUCUUCCAUUUUCCAAUUCCCUAAGAUGUGGUCAAAUAACAAGCACAGACAAUUAUUAAGAGCAACAUGUAAGAUUGUGUUCUUACCAUAGGAAGCUGAAGUAAGGUAAUUUCAAGCUGGAUGUUAUGUGUUAAUCAUCUAGUUGUAAUAAUAGUUCGAGUGGAUAAAUAGAACACUGGCUGUUGGCACAAACGGAUGAUUAAAAAAUAUUUACACCAGUAUAUCACGAUUCCUCAUGAUGCGUAUCACAAACAAUAGUUAUCUAUUUUACAAAUAAGGCUUCAGAUAAAGUUAAUAGGCACAAAAAAUGUAAGUAAGCCAACCUAGGUUGACUGCUAUAGAAACCCAUUAAACGCUAAUUGCAGUUAUUGGUAUUACUCUUAAUGAAUUGUUUAUUUUCUCUAAUAGUACGCUCAUGCUGCUGGCAGCUAUUUCCUAACAACAACAACAACAACAACAACAAGAAGAAGAAGAGAAGUUUGCUGCCAAUAAGAUUAGUUUACUGUGGGUGUGGUAGCCUGAUUAUGUAUUGUCAAACAUGAGACUAAAGAGAACAGAAAGAAAAUUGUACCUUUUCCUAUCCGUGCUUUCAAAAAACUCUAGUGCUCUUGCCUAUUGGUUUGCCCUGGAGUAUUUUAACUUUCCACAAAACUUAUAAGUUACAACUAACAUUAUAUAACUAAGACAUCUGCGACGCCUCCUACCGCCGCUCAGAUCCGGCUCCCACCUGUCCACGCCGCCAGAGCCGUCCCCCGACAUCUGCGACGACGGCGAGUCAGAGUCGAGGUCGUCCAUCGAUAUCUACGACGACGACAGAGGGAGAGGCGGACGUGAUAAAGCUCGACGCGCGCGGCGAACAAAAAUUUCGGGUCCGAGCUGCUGGGCACGCGAACGCGGAGUGCGUGAUAUUGAAUAAAAACGUCGGGUCCGGAGCAGCCGCACGUACGUCGGAUCCGGAGCAGCCGCACGUACGUCGGGUCUGGAGCAGACGCACGUGUCGCGGUGCUGGCUGUCCGUAGCCUGGAAACGCGGGCAGGGUACCAAACGCCUUCAGGUUUUAAGGAAUAAGAUUCAGUAUCCAUCCCAUAUUCUGUUCAUGUGAACGCUUCGUAGUCCUAAAUAAUCAUCGCCAUUUCUGAACUGAAUUUCCUUUCUAAUUAAUUCUACUCGAUCAUAACCUUCGUACCAAACCUAAUGAAAAAGAAUAUAGUUGCCUAAGAGAGGAUAAUUGGGCCACCUUGGGAUGCAAAGAGGUUUUCGCUCUUCAUCAUUCCCACAAUUUUCUCAGUGAAACCCUGCAUGGCCGUCUGCAUAAACAGGGAGCAGCAUUACAACGAUGACAGAAAAAGGUGUCUCCAUCUAGAUCCAGAACUGUUGAUUAGGUGGUUUCACUGGCCGACCUUGAAAGGUUAGUUGUCUAUCCUGAAGCUGAUGCCCGGUACAUACUUAAAUCAAACUGGAGACACGGUAAUGCUCCAUUUUUAAUGGAGGUGAUUUCAGGAAAUGGAGAAGUACCCCAUACCCGAAGUUCCACUCGCCACAAAUGUAGGACCGAUGCAGAGAUGUACAAAUAGGCCGGCCUUCUGGACCGUCUUUAUAAACCUGACUAAAUUGUACCUCUCCUCGAAAUAGUACUGCUCAAAGCGGGAAAAAAAUACCAUCCAAAUCCUGUAUGAGUUAAUGAUGAUGCAGCGGAAUGGAAUAGCAUAGGUGUCAAGUUUCUUACAUUUCCAGGCGUAGGUCUGAAUGACAUCCAAGCCUCCAUCUUUAGCUUUCUGAAUCAGCCCUUCCGACAUUUGAUUGAAAAUAAAAGAAAGAAGAAGCACUCACUUCAGAUCCAUAGAUUCUAAAAAAUGCCACAAAACCACCCAAAAUAGUUUUUUUGUCGGAAGUUUCUUAGUUUGGGUUAUCCAAAUGUUGUGCAAGGAAGAACCAAGAAACACAGAUGCUGUAGAGAAAAACAAGGGAUGGAGGCCAGAGGGGACAAUGACCGAGAAAAUCUCAAACCCCAUCCAAGAAACUAACCGUGGAAGAAAGAGGGACGGCUAAAACCUCUCCGCAGCGUGCACUGGGUUUGCGAGCUUUGCAUCAAGAAACAGCUGACCGCAGCCAUAAACCUCUCCAGGGAAUAGUGGGGGGAGAAGAGAUUUUGUAAAAUGCAGUUACAUCAGGGGUGCUCCUAGGGUAGUGUAUGGAUCCGGAGAAGAGAAUCCACAUCUGCCCAUCAAUCAGCAUUGCCUUCUUGUCAUAAGCCACAGCGCAUUGACGCAUUCCACGGCGGCCACCAGAACGGACAGCGCCACUACGCAGCCCAGCAGGGCAGCCGGGCACCACCUCCUCAUGGCCAACCUCCCCGCUCCAAGAAGGUGGGCGAAGAGGAAAACCGCAGCGUGCACUGGGUUUGCGAGUGCGCGAGACUGUGUGGUCUUCACACACUUGUGAGAUCUUUCCCUCCAGCACCACCUCCUCCUCCUGCACACCUCCUCUGUUUUGGUUGCUGCCUUUCUUGGAUUUCUAGAGGGCGGCGCUAAUGAAGGUGGGCCAGAGGGCGGCGCCCCAGAAGGUGGCAAAGGAGAGGACGUGAGCUAGGUUGGCUAGGUGAUGGAGCCUACGCCGGAGUGGGGAAUCGAGAGCAUCAGGGACGAAGAGUUCGGUCGCGGCAAAGAAGCACACUGUCGCUAGGAACCAUGUCGCCCAUCCCAUCGCUCGAAUCCAUGGAAUUUUUGGACCAGAUUUUCCCCUCAGGAUUUUUGCUUCUUAGAUUGGAACAAGAGGACCGGGGGAGAAAGAUGGGGGUUUUAGAGCCGGAAGCUUACCACGAAGGCCCAUCGUGGAGCCUAGAAGGCUUGGAGCAGGGAACGCCAGCGACCGCGAGCCAAGAAGGGGAAGCGGAAGGCGGUGG
rnacentral:lncRNA from 1 species